UUUUUUUUCACUCUUGUACCAAACGACAGGAAAUCCUGUUUUCAUCAGUCUAACUUAUUCUAAACCUUCAGUUUCAUCAUCACCGUUGCUGUAGUGAUGACCCCGUUUGACCUCUUCAGCGACUUUCCUCCUCAUCCCAUCAGUCAGACAUUACAGCUGUCAAUCAAUCACUGGCUAACAGAACUGCCUUCCAGUGAGUGUGUCCUGUGUGUCACCCUGCUCUGCUAAAUGCACACAUGCACCAUCCACACUGCACCAUGCGUGUGUGUGUGUCUGUGCGUGUGAGAGAGUGUGAGAGUGUGUGUGUGUCGUCUACCUCUCAGACUCUGCAGACUCGGUGCUGUGAGCUUAUAUUGAGCUGUGCUGCUGCUGCUGUUUUCUCACAUGCGUGGGCUCCAGCGUGACAGAUCUGGGUCUCUGCUGAUGAACUACUUGGUUGUAGCUAGGGCUGAUUCCCAACCAUACCAGCACGUCACAAAUACACAAAGAGAGCAACAUAGUAUUGAUAAGCCGAUAUCGAUGAGGCGAUGUCUACCUGGGUGCAGCGUUCAGCGUUUGAUGGAGUGUAGCACCAAAGCUAAUUAGUGUAUAACCUUUUUGAGCACACUGCUUGGUGCAAAGUUUGGAUAUUCCUGCGCCUACUUAUCUGUGUAUGUGUGUGUGUGUGCAAACUCAGCAUGCACAUGUGUGUGUGAGCCUUUGUCUGCCAGUAUGCUAAUAUUAGCGCCUCGCCAAAGGCUGGCUCUAUCUGACACAAAGCAGGUGAUAAAUGAGGAUGACUGCACUCCACUUGUGUGUGUGUGUGUGUGUGUGUGUGUGUGUGUGUGUGUGUGUGUGUGUGUGUGUAUGCUGGUGCAUGUGGGAGAUUUGAAAACUGGUAGCGUCAGUGAUUUUUCUCCAAAAGGAGAGGUGAGAGCGUGCUGUAGAUCCAGAUGCACGGUUUUCUGCAGCUGUAUAGAGAUGGAAAAGCGGCACAAUGCGCCGUCUGCCAGCCAGCCAGCAGUCAAAGAGGAUUGGAGGUAAGCCGGCUGCAGACACAGUCGGUCGAUCAGUCAGUCAGAGAGGGAGGGAUAACACAAGAAAAGCAAGAGGGCAGUGUGGUCUCAGGGAUUUUUCCUUUUUUCCUUUCCCUGUCUCCCCGGGCCUCGUCGCUGAUUUGAGCCUUCAGCCGGCUGCAUGUCGUUGCUCUCCUUUUUUCUGCUUCAUCUGUCCCUCCCCCCAUCAUCUCUCGUUUUUCUCUCCUUCUCCUUUCUCUCUCUCUCUCUCUCUCUCUCUCUCUCUCUCGCUCCCAGCCAGUGGAGAUUAAAUGUAGCCUCUAUAAGCCAAAGCACAUCAUGUAGCAAUGUUUCUAUGGUCCCUUCUCUCUCUCACUCUCUCCUUCCUUUCCUGAAGUGACUGAUGUUUGCAAAAAAGAGAGAAUAGAAAGAAAAAGAGAGGACUGCUAAAGUGGAUUUUUGCUUUUGCAUGCAGAAGAAAGCAGUGGAUUUGUUUGAAGGGGUGGAAAUCAGACAACGGCAAGGUGGAAAAAACAACGAAAAGGAGGACUACCUUCUCUCUGCACCCCCUCCUCCCCCCCUCCUCCCCCUCCUUCUCCUCCCCCCUCACCUCUCUCUUGUCUGAUACUGAGGAAAAGUGGGCCUCUGGCAGUAAGCGAUUACAGCUGUGAGGCAAAUUAAUGGAUGAUAUUUCUCCCCCUCCUCUUUUCUCCUCCCGCCGAUCAACACGGUGAAAGAAGGAAGAAAGAGCCAGAGGUGGGGAGAAUGAAAAAGAAAGACUGGGAGAAAGAGGUGGAGUACUAAUAUCGGACGAAGGAGAGGAGGAGGGGAGGAAGGAGGGGAGGAAGGGGGGAGUUAUGGUUUUUUCCUGUCUUCCCUCCUUUCCAGCUCUGCAUGUGAUUGAAAGAGCGAGAAAACAAUGCGAGGGGGAAAAAGGGCGAGGAAAAAGAAAAAGAGAAAGCGGAGCCGAGACGAGAGAUCAGCAGGCGGGUUCCUUUAACUUGGAUUUGUGUGUGUGUGUGUGUGUGUGUGCGUUUUUCCCUUGCUAACCUGCCUUGAAGCUGCAGAUUUGGAUAAAAAAAAGUAAGUAAAGUGCAAGAAAAAUCUGAAUAGAGUGAUAGUGUUUUCUGUAAGCAAUGCAGGCAUGUGUGUGUACGCAAGGAAGCAUGAGUGUGUAAGUGCAAGUGUGUGCACCCCCUCCUCACUCCCUACCUUUACCCCCUCUUUCUCCCCUCGGUAAGGCAGCAUACUGGUAUCUGCUUCACUGGCACUAUGGCCCUGCGCGGCUGCAAAGACUGAUUCUUGAUGCUUGCUUUUUUCUUUUUUUUUUUUCUUUUCUCGUCGCUCGCUCUUUGUGUCCCUCACUCACUUUCUCUCACCUGCUUCUUUUACCUGUAUGGACUAACCUUUGUGUAUCACUUCCACUCAGCGUUUGGUUUUCAGGGAAGCGUCUCGCGACUUGCGUCCUCUCCAGAUUGCUCGCUCUUGCUCUACUUGCGUGAGUGUGUGUGUGUGUGUGUGAGUGUGUGUGAGAGCGAGAGAGAGAGAGAGAGAGAGAGAGAGCAAAGGGAAAGAUAGAGAGAAAGUGUGUGCACAUGGUUCAUUCCGGCUCGGUCCUACCACCCAUCCUUAUGCCUCUCUUUCUUGUCUCUGUCCGUUGCUGCUUUCCCAUUUAUCUCGCCGACCUUAAGACCGACAGACGGAUGGAACCCUCGCUCCCGUCGCUUUUUUCUGUGACCAAUCAAAACUUCCUCCAGUGAACAUUUCUGGAAUCUUGUUGGCGUGCUGUAAGUUUAAAAAUCUGAGAUGUCUCUUCUCUCUUUCUCCUCUUUUCUUCUCCUACCGAGCAGGAAGCGAGAUAGAAGAAAAACAACGAGCGAAAGGGGGCAUCCUGGAUCCUGGAGGGGAGGGUGAGUCGAUACCGAGCAAAUACUCUUCCUCCUCACUUCCCUCGGCUCCCCAUCUGUUUCCUAAGCUUCGGACCACCAUGGUGGCAUGAAGGAGCCGCAGCAGAGCUUUGUUAUCUGGCUCGUCUUUUCUCUGUCCAGAGGAUUCGGAGGACCACACUGAGCGGGGAUUUGCACUGGUAAUGAUUGAGCAUGCACUGGAUGAUUUUUAAAACAGUGACAGCCGGGAGAGCAUCAUGUGAGAGGGGGCUGUUUGACUCUGUGCGGUCCCACAGCUUCGGAUUUCGAUGCUGUAAUUGAUGUAUACGCUCCGGGUUUUUAGUCUCAUGCAUCCUGACAAUGAUUAGCAAUCAGCAGCUGAUUUUGAUUUUCCCUGAAGCGGGAGAUCUUCAGACACAGCAGCAGGCUCUGUACCUGAUAGCAGGAGGCAUUUUUCAAAGUGCUGUAUUGUUCAGUUGAGGUGGGGGAGGGGGAGAGGGAGAAAAAGGGAAGAGAGAGAGAGAGAGUUGGCUUUGGUGGGGGGGGGGGGGGGGGGGUUGGCCAGUGUUGUGUCUGGCUGAGGUUUGCACUUGUUGUAUGUUCACGACUACAUGUGGGGGCAGAGGAGGUUGCAGAGCAUGCAUGUAAACGAGGAGUGAUGCGAAGCUGUAUGUGUGCUGCAGGGAGAGCUCGCUCGGCAUGCACGAGAUGCUCAGACGCUCUGAGUCCUCAUUUGACUUAUGGACGAGUUCUCAUGGAGGCAGGCUUAUGCAAGAGAAGUCAAAAAAGCAGCAGCUCGCGUGAGGAAGUGGAGGAGUGAAGAUGUAUCUGUCUCCGUCCCUGAGACCCUAACUUGUGACGUUAUGUUCUUCAUGUCCACGGGUUAGGCUCUCGGGAGCUGAGAGGGAUGCACGGCCAGCGCUAUCUCUCGCACGUUCCUGCCUCUAACAAUGGCGAUCAGAGCAGGGUGCGGGGAAGGCCGUGGCGCAGCAAGGCUAAGGCGUUCGCCGCACGCUCGCCGUGUCACACAUUUCGGUUUGGCUCACACCCUUCUGUUCGAUGCGUGUCCCCUGGGCUAAUCUGUUUUCUGUCUACUGCGCAGUGGGCACAAGAUGAAAAAUAGACAGGCUGCCGAAAUCUCCAAACUGAGACGGAUGGCGGCGUAGAUGUGGUGGCAUGUACGAUAUUUGGAUGAUUCUGUGACACAGAACGGGAUAAGCUGAUGUGUGUGGACGGAUGACAUGAUGCUAACAGCAAGGGCCUGAUUAAAUCAAAGUCAAUGAUAAUUAUUAUCUUUUCAUAUUCAGCUACAUUUUAAAGGGAAACGCAGAACAGGCUGCGUUUUUAAACUUUAAUGUGAUGCUAUUUGUGUUGCGCCCUUAUUCCGAUGUCAAUGCACUGAGAAUAUCUGUAAUUCUGCAUUUCAGCUUAGCGCUCUAAAUCUGCAACAAAACCACCUGAGUAGAGGGAAUUUCUAAUGCAAUGAUUUCAUAUCUAAGUUUUACGCGUCUACGCUAAUUAUUUAGCAUCCCGUUUUGAUAAAAGUUUAGACAGGUGCGGGUUUAAACCAGGUGAAAUACUAGUUUAAGACAUGCUAGCAUCCUAAGCUACUAGCCAGCCUUUGCUAAUAGGUGUUGCUGCUUCCUCUGCUAGAGAAAUGGCUAAACAGCUGGUUAGCAUCAGGAGCUAAUGGGCGCAAUGCUAAUGCUGCUUUGGUAGCAAUAGCCUCUUCACACAUCAGUGGAUUCUGCUAAGUAAAGAAGCAUCCGUCAGAGUGUUAGAGCUCUUUGUGUCUAUAGCGGACCUGUCUGUGUCUGCUGCCAUGUGUGUGUGCGCGUGUGUACGUUAGUGUGUGUGUGCUUUUAUGACUUGAGAGCAGCACAGAGUAAUGUUGAGAGCGUGACCAUGACAGCUCUGUACAUUAUGUGCUUGACCUCAGUGAACCCCCGACGAUGUUCAGCCUCACUCGCUCAUGCUAACACACAUGUAGAGGUGGCAGACGGACACACACACUCACACACACACACCAAAUUAUGUCCACUGAGAAUAAUCUACUGCCAGCCAACCAUGAUUCAUCUGUGACGGGUUUCUGAAAAUGCAACUGUUGAUCUGAUUCAAACAAAGUGGCAGCAGCACACUUCUCUCGGUUAUAUAAGCACAAUUUCCAAACACUGAGUUCGGAUUUUGGAGGACGAUCCAGUCAGUCACAGCAGCGAAUAAGCACUUUAAGGAAGUUUUACCCUCGACACUUGUUAUUAAAGGGCUUAUUUCGCCACUCAAAGCUGUGUUGAACCUUGCACUUCAUUCUAUAGAGAGUUCUAUCCAUCUCUUGGGUGUUGCAUUUGCAGCAUAUUUCAUACCAGAAGCUAUUCAAUAAUGUGAUUCAUUGGUAUUGGACUUCACACUGUAGCUAAUAUCAGGUUUUAAUGGGGCGUAGUAAGAGUAUUGACUGUCCUUAAGGAUGCCUGCCUGUGUUUAAAUGGAUGCUAAACCCUGUGCACUUGUGGAGCUCACAUCUAAGGGGGGAUGGGUGGGGGGGUUCAUGCUAAGGUGCUAGACGUGUCUGCUGCAAGGCCCUACAAGGAUGCAUACGAAACAUGUUCUUGUUUGGUUUAAAAUGCCUCAUGUUAUCUCAGAGAUAAAUUUGUGAUAAUUUUUUUAAAUAUUGAGUAUAUUUUUAUGUGUGACGAAAAGGUGACAUGGCACACAAGCCUCACAACGAACACAGGUACUGACAAAAGCACAGAGCGGUUAAGGUGAACAGGAGGAUUUAAUAAGGCUGUGGAAGUUCAAGUUUGAUAAUAAAACAACUAAUUAAGUAAAUUUUAUAUGGAGCUGUUUUUAAAAAGGCAGUGGUAUACUCAAAUUAGUUGCUGUUUCUGUUUUUCAAGCCCACGUCUCACAUUUUUGCAACCCUGACGCUUCAUCGAUAGAUCAAUGCUCCCCUCUCUUCAAAUCAGGAGUAUCACAGAUUGCCUCACACAUGACCUUGAAAACUAUUUUUAUCACUUCCCCUCCUCUAAUGCAGUUAAUCCAAGCAACAUCAGCCGAUACCUUCUGCUGAUUUGUUCCUUUUUUAAGUCCCUUUAUUCACUGUAACUGUAUGCUGUGUCCGUUCUGAUGUUAACAAACUAAUAUGGAUUAUAACUUUGAAUCUUUCUGCACAGCUAAUCUACAGCUUUGGCAUCACUCUUAUGUAACACUUCUUCCAUUUCCUGCGAUAUCUCCGCACCAGAAUCUCCUUUUGUUUGUUAGCUUGGUGUACAAACACUAACCUGGAGCAGCUUUUUUUUGUGUUGACGGUAAAGCAGGAGAAAAGGGGCUGCAGGCUUGCUCUCCAUUGUUCGGCUGCUGCGCUCACUGUCUGUACACUGUGUCCCCAUGGCAGAGGCAGACGUGGAGUAGAGACAGACAGACAUACAGACAGACAGAGCGACUGGUGGGCACACGCCUGCCUCGAUAAGCUGCUACGAUGUCGACUGAAUACUGUUAAGAAAAGGAAAAUGUAAAAAAAGGGGGGGGUAUUCGCUCACCAGUGUCACCUGUAAGCUGAAUUAUGAUCCGACUGUGACACACUUACAAAAACUAAGGUUAUCCGAUUAUUCGAUGAACUGGUGACUACUUGGGGAGCUGCUUCAGGUGUGUCUGUCAGUAAAACCUGUGAUGCCAUUAGUUCCAGAAACAUCAGGUCUUACAGAUUUUCAAGUCGAGGUUUCGGUUUCAGUUGAAGCCUCGCAUUUUCUGUGCAAAUGCAGCUUUUAUGGCGUAAUACGUUGCACAUUCCUGCAUCAAUUGAUCCCGUUUGCCAGCAAGCAGCUGCUGAUUGAUGAUAUCCUUGUUAAGAUGAACUCUUUUUUUAGGGGGGUACUCUGGAAGUUACAGGAAAUAGGAAUCUGGUGGAGUGUGUGUUAGCACAGGUGUGGAGGCGAUGUUGCCGCAGGUUGACGCCCAAUGUGCCAAGGGAGAACGGUCGCAACACACGGGCAGUAAAGGGAAAAUGAUCAAUCAGGGAGAUUGAUCACGUUAGGGAAAGGCGUCGAAUGAAGCGUGAGAGGUCUGGCGAUGAGUUGAGAUGUGUUUGUGGCCGCAGUGAUGCCUUCACAGUCACCAUCCUGCAGUUUUUUUCUGCCACUCCCUUCCACACACACAGACUGGCUCAGCUGCAGGCGGGAGCAGCGCACUCAUCAAUAACUCGAGCUGAUCAGUGUGUGUGUGUGUGUGUUUGUCUGAGUGUGUGUGUGCUUCCUACAGUAUCCGUCAGCAUGUCUGUAAUGUCUUAUUUGUGUGUGUGUGUGUGUGUGUGUGUGUUUAGCAGCACUGCAGAGGGGUUCACCACUCGCUCCUUCCAAGUCUGUCGGUGAAACAAGAUGGCGUCGCGGCUCCACGUGGACCCUCCCUCCCUACUGUGCCGCCUAAUGCCCACUUUAGUGAUAGCACCAGAAAGCUAGCAGAGGUCACAUUUGGAAUUGUUGCACACCUGGGGCAUAUUUAUUCCCCACAUAGCUGAAAUUGCUGAGGCACUUCUUGGUGCUGGAGCUCGGCCGACUUUGGGAGAUUUAGGAUUUGGGGCCGAUCCAGAGCUUUCAUUGUUUUUCUUGGUUGCUUUUUCUCUCAGUCUGUGUAUCGGCUGCCAGACUGUAUGCUGUUUUGACUGCGAUGUGGGCGGUUUAAAAUGUUCUGGUGGGGUGGACGAGUAUGUUUUCAGCAUGAUUUGUCUGCCAGCCUGCUUGCGUGGAAGUGUGUGUGCGUGUCCUCCCUGACUCAGGCUAAAGCUAGGGCCAGUUUAAAGGAGCUUGGGGAUUGUGCAGCCACACCACAGUGGCAGAUUAAUCUGACUACACACUAACCUCAUUAAUCUGAGAGAGAGUAAUGUCAGCAACAAUGUGUCUGCAGUCACAAUCAAUCACACACACACACACAAACACACACACACGUAUUUAAAGCUGUGUCCUUUGUCUGCAGCUCAGAAAGACACAGGUAAUGAUGGCUGGAGUGUCAUUACUGUCCUGCUCCAGGUCAUGCUGCAUUCACUGACAUGCUGGAAAUCCCCAGAGAUGAAUCAACAUUUAAUUCUUUGCUGCCACGUCAACUGCAGAGCUGCAUUUGUGGAUGUUACAAGGGAGACAGUUACCUCCUGCUAGCAGCAAGCUAGUGGCUGCAGAUGUGAUCAGGUACUGUGUUUCUGCACGAAUGGGUGUGAUUUGUGGGUUUAAAGUUUCUUUGACUCUUCUGGUACUCUUGCAUCUUUAUAUCUGUGUUCUUUUUAAUGAUGUGAUGGGCACAGCAUACAACAAAUGGAUCAGAUGGAGACGUCAUAAAAUCAGUUUUCUCAAGGAGCAGAAAUACAUGUAGCAUGUUUUGCAAAAAGUCAGAACAGUGCCAGAUUUGUGGUUACAGCAUAAUGAUGACCCUUUUUUUUGUGGAAAACAUUCCCCUCCUCUGACUCUUCAGUUCAGAGCUGCAACAAUAAGUCAGUACACCAGUGGAAACCAGCUUUAUGACUUUGACAUAUGAAUGUUUCUUUUCAAGCACAAUUGCAAACACUUCACCUAGAUCUAUGCAUUCAAUAACUUGCAUUUUUGUCGUUAAUUUCUGUCAAUUUCCAAACAAAACACAAAAGUUCAGUACAUACUGCUGGUUGCAGUUUGCAAAAUAAUAUUCUGGAUUGCAGAUGGUAUAAGAUUCAGCUUGAUCACAGGAAAUGCAAGUUAUUGUUCAACUAGAAUACAACUUAUGUGCAUGUUUUAAUGUUGUUUAGAACAGUUGAGAAACGUCAUCCUUAACAUUCUGUCGAUUUAGCAUCACAUCAGUCUUGCUUUCUUGCUCCUUACACAGAUUCCACAAGCAGGUUCCUCAAACAAGCUUAAUUUAGCAUCAGCACCCUCUCUUCAUCAUAAAUAUUCAUGUUGUUUGUAUUUAAAAAAAGCUGCUGUGAUAUAUUUUGUCUGUCAGUUUUCUCCUUAUAUUAAUCAAAAUUUUAAAAUGACUGUUUUUGUGUUUUGAAUGAAAGAAUGUUUAACAUUUUGUUUUCAUCAACACUAUUUCAGUAAAUGUUCGUCCUGAGAAUUUUUUCUUUGUUUUAAGCUCCUUAAAUAUGAAUGUCAUCUGGUUUCUGUCUUUUAUAAUAGUGAAUGAAAAUAUUUGAGUUGUGCAUAAAUACCUCACAUAUUGUGACAUCAGUUUGCAACAGAAAGAUUCAUUUUUGCAGCCCUGAUUUACAGCUGUUUGUGGAUGCUGGUAUGAGAUUUUUAGCAGAGCAAAUAAAGCAGAAUGCACCUUUAAAAGUUUGUGUAAAGAUUUGAGAAUAACUGUGGUGUGUGAUGUACUGUGAUUGAUUAAAUGCUGCAUUGUUUUUUACUGUUAAUUUUAUUUUGUUUUUAUGAAUGCUUUCCUUACAUGAAUCUUGAUGGUUGAAAUGCUAGUGUAAGACCACUAUGGCCUCUUUUUUCCCUCUGCAAAAUAACUGGGAGGAAGAAGCAUGGAUGCGAGAGCAGCACAGCAAAUCUUCAGAGGUCUGGGACUGAAAUAGAGCUGUCUGUAUCUAAAUAAAGCCCUGAUACUGUCAUUUCACAUGGUUCUUGAUUCUUUCUUUCUUUCUGUUGUGUGUAUUAAUAGCAGCUCUGAAUACGUCGUUGGAUACUUUCUGAACUGAUUUGUCAUGUGACAUCUUUUUUUUUUUUUUUUUUUUCUGAUCUCUGAAGAUAUUUUUGCACCUUUUUUAAGUCUUGAAUCUGUGUCAGACAGAUUACUCUGAUCUGUUGUGUGAUUUUUUUUUUUUUUUUGGUUUGUUUCUGCAGAGCUGCAGAGACAUAUUACAACAUCCUCUCUGCAGACCACAAAGGCACAGGACAGCACAUGGACCAAAAUAAAAAGCUUAAAAAAGAGCGUUUGCAGCUGCUCCACUGUUGUCACUGUGCAUGUUUUCAUAUGAUCUGAACUUGGACGAGUUUAUGCAUGGCUAUCUAUGAAAUGGGUCACCAUACCACAGUAAGACACUACAGUCUAUGUUUGCCAUGGUAACUGAGCCAAUUAAAAUACACUUGUGCAAAUGCUUUGCUUACGGCUCUUUUAACCUUACACCCUUUUUCUUUUUGCCAUAUUUUGGGAAAUAUAAUUGCAGAAGAGGAGCUGUAAUGCACUGCUCAUGUACUGUACAUACAGUAUUUGGCUCAUGGUGAUCCAGAUAAUACAGAGCUUUGUCUUUCUCUCUCUCCUACAGCUUAUGAGACCAGGCCAGGACAUGUCGAGGAAUGGUCCGUGGGUGUGAGAUGGAUAUGACACCCACUCUGAAGCAAAAUCCAAGUGUCCGCACCCAUGCAAACACUCACCUGAGUGGUAUAUCCGAUAUCUUGACCAGGAUUCACUUACACUCACAUACUGUUUUACAGUUGAAGUGAGAUUUUACAGUCAGUGUGUCUCCAAAAGCUUUUAUGAGUAAAUAGUUCAACUGAUUUUUGUAUUUAAAUGUAUUUUAUGUGAAUAAAAUGUUUAUAAAAAAUACCUUCUCGUCAUUUUUCAUGAUAUGCACAAGUGUUUUACAUCCACAUUUAUGUAGCACUAUUCAGAAAGCCUCCUAAAAUCAGAAGUACAUUAAGUGUUAGUAGUUAGCUAAGCUCCUGCAGUGGGAUAUUUCAAUGCUAAUGCUAACAUUUUAGUGUGUUACGCUAUGACUCCAUGCUAACUCUUUCACACUUUUCUUAAUCUAGAAAUACUUAUAAUCUUAGCAUUUACUCCUCUGAAGUGCACAAAGGUAGCUCCAACAUGCUCAGUGUUCAGUGGGUUUCUAGGUUUGUAAGUGUGACGCUUUUUGAUAGCUUAGAUGUUAGGUACACGCCAUGCUAACACGUCUGAUGUGUCUGAGCGCUAAAUGUGAACACUGCGACAUACUGCCCUUCAACUAAGAUUUAAGUCAAGGCCAGAGAAACUUUCCCUGCAGGCACUGACUAUUGUAAGUGAUAUGCCUGGUAUUUUAAAGGUUAUUUGAAUACCUGUGAAUAUAAUUCCUCAUAAUAGCAGACUGUAUGCUAACAUCGUGGCACAUAUUCUCUGUACUUGCAAUCCAACAAUUCAGCAUAAUUAGCCUGAGUGCUUGCACAGCAUGUAGUCCCUUUAUAUCACAAUAACAUCAAUCAUGAUGGCAAAAAUUCUAGCGGUCAGAAAAAACAGAGUCUAGCCAUUACUUUAUGACAAAAUGCAGUAUAACAGCAGGUAACAGCAACAUUUACCAUCAUAUAUUUUUGAGCGUUAACCACAUGCGAACAGUACCAACAUUAUUCAUUAGCUGUACACUCCCUGUGAACUUUUGGUCUUUGAGGACAUACCAUAACAUGCUCACACACAGUGCAAAGUAAGGAAGCGUUCAAUAACUGAUCUUGGAUAAAACCUUCAUGGCAUCAUUUUAUUGGUUCAUGUUUUAAGGAGGCGGUGCCCCUCGACUGGUAUAUAUGCAUACAUAUGUCUAUACAGCUGAAAGGCUUUGCGAUGACAGAUUAUGUUAUAAUACAUUCUGAGUUAACAGAGGACCUAGGUAUAGGUCUGUACAUUUUAUCUAUUUACACUUACUAUAUAUCAGUCAUUUUCAUGGAUCUUAGCAUUAUUUUCUUUUUAUGUCUCGAUGAUAAUGCUUUUUUCCCCCUCAAUAUUAAUUUACAGGAGAUCUCGAAAACAAGAAAACAGACUGGUCACGAUGAUUGACUGAGUUGUCCUGUGCUAUCAUUUCCCAAACUAAUGAGACAAGUUCAGACUAUUUCUUUUUGUAUGUUUCAAAUCAUUGUCAGGAGAAAGUAAGUCCACAGAAGGAAAUUUAAUGUAACUGACAAGUUCAUCUGAAGUAGAAUCUUAUAUUUAGCAUAUAAACAGAGUCCUGAGAGGGAAAAGCCUGAUGCUUCAACAGGAGGAUUGUUUGAGUUGUGUGAUACAUCUUUAAAAUAUCUAAUGGUGCAGAUCAGAGAGUUACCACUGAUAAAUGCUGUAGCCUAAAGAUGUUAUUUGAUUUCUAUAAAUCUAUGUUCUGUAAAUGUUUAUGUUUAUUUUAGAUUCUGUCUUAUCAUGUUUGAACUUUUUAUGUGUGUUUUACAGAUUUUUAAAGUCCUCUAUCUUAAUUUUUUACAGUUUUUUUAAUUGCAUCGGACUGCUUUUGCAACUUUAGGGAUUCAUAUUAAGAUCGAUCGAUUAGUUGGGAUCCCCGGAAAACAGCAGAAAUUAACUCUUUAUGUGACAAAACUCAGUAAACUAAAUGUAUGGUUGCAUUGCUGCCAAGGUUGAUCAUUUUCUCUGCAGGAUAUGACUGUGCGCUAUCCCUGCAGCCAGCUGACACUCAACAUUUUGGAUCAAUAGAGUCUCAACCCCACUCUUGACACGUGCUGUGAAACUGCAGAUUAUUAAUCCGGGACAUUCAUACCAGGAAUUUUUCUGCCAUGAGGUGUCAACUUUUUGUGGUGUCCAUUAAACCUCAUCCUGCUUCCACUUCCUGAGUGAUUCAGCACUUUUCCAAGAACUACUUUCGACACCCUCUGAGUUUUUGUCCGGACUUGUUGCAGCCAGAUUUGGUUCUACCUUGGAUAAAGUGAUAAUGACAGGCAGAGUAUUGGCUCAUGCAGCAACACUCAUGCUGACUCAGCAAGACGGCUAAUAGCUGCAGCGAAGGGAGAUUUUCUGACAGUGCAUGUAAUUCAAUAAGAACAGAUGUAGCAGAUCAUGAGAGACAUUUAUGCCACUGUAGAAACUGGCCAAACUGUAUUUUUUUUGUUUUUUUGGGGGGCUAAUGAUGGAGUUUGAUAAUCACAGACAGAAGCUCUCGGAAACAAAGAAGUGUGAUAAGUUUAUACUCUCAUUUUCUUAAAGGUAUUUCCUUGUCUUUCAAAUUAAAAUAAAACGUAUACUUUAUUUUUGCCAGUAAAAAUAACCUUACAUAAAUCUGCCCCACGUUUUACUCUGCAAAUAAUUCUUCUUUUCUCUGACACUCGAUUUGGAUUUUAAACAAUAAAUGAGGCGUCUUUUACAGCACAAAGCAUCAUGGGACCCAGACGUUUCAAUGCAAAAUAAAAAAUCAUUCAGUUUAUUUGUUUCAUGAGCGGAAAUUUUACUUUCUUGGACAGCUGUUUGAAUGAUUUUUUAUUGGGAUUAUUUUUAUGACAUUCUCGAGCAAUAGUCGAACGUCUUUAAGACGCUGCUGCGGGUGGAACUGUAAGAC